UGAGAGUUUGAUCCUGGCUCAGGAUGGACGCUAGCGGCGCGCUUAACACAUGCAAGUCGUGCGAUCGGCUUAUUCAAUCUUCCUUCGGGACGGCGGACCGGUUACGGAGCGGCGGACGGGUGAGUAACACGUAGCUAACCUGCCUUCGGGCGGGGGAUAGCAUCGGGAAACCGUUGUUAAUACCCCAUAAUACCAACGCAACACAAGUUACGUUGGUCAAAGUCCAGCACUCAAUUGGGCACUACAUCUGAAAAGGGGAGAAGCAGUUGUUUGUUCUAAAUUACAAACAAGCUUUUCCAGUAUACGGAUGUAGGAUCCAAUUGAGUGAUGGAUACCUGAAGAUGGGGCUGCGUCCUAUUAGCUAGACGGUGAGGUAAAGGCUCACCGUGGCCAAGAUAGGUAGGGGGCCUGAGAGGGCGAUCCCUCACACUGGAACUGAGACACGGUCCAGACUCCUACGGGAGGCUGCAGUGGGGAAUCUUGCGCAAUGGUCGAAAGGCUGACGCAGCGACGCCGCGUGGAGGACGAAGGCCUUCGGGUUGUAAACUCCUUUUCUGGGGGACGAAUAAGGUAAGUAGGUAAUGGCUUACCGAUGACGGUACCCCAGGAACAAGCGCCGGCUAACUUCGUGCCAGCAGCCGCGGUAAGACGAAGGGCGCAAGCGUUAUCCGGAAUCACUGGGCGUAAAGGGUGUCUAGGCGGUCGGUCAAGUCGACCGUGAAAGUCCUCGGCUAAACUGAGGAAAGUCGGCCGAAACUGAUCGACUCGAGGAACGUAGAGGGAAGCGGAACUCUCGGAGUAGCGGUGAA
rnacentral:rRNA from 1 species